rnacentral:rRNA from 1 species
GAUGAACGCUGGCGGCGUGCCUAACACAUGCAAGUCGAGCGAUUCUCUUCGGAGAAGAGCGGCGGACGGGUGAGUAACGCGUGGGUAACCUGCCCUGUACACACGGAUAACAUACCGAAAGGUAUGCUAAUACGAGAUAAUAUGCUUUUAUCGCAUGGUAGAAGUAUCAAAGCUUCGGCGGUACAGGAUGGACCCGCGUCUGAUUAGCGAGUUGGUAAGGUAACGGCUUACCAAGGCGACGAUCAGUAGCCGACCUGAGAGGGGGAUCGGCCACAUUGGAACUGAGACACGGUCCAAACUCCUACGGGAGGCAGCAGUGGGGAAUAUUGCACAAUGGGCGAAAGCCUGAUGCAGCAACGCCGCGUGAGCGAUGAAGGCCUUCGGGUCGUAAAGCUCUGUCCUCAAGGAAGAUAAUGACGGUACUUGAGGAGGAAGCCCCGGCUAACUACGUGCCAGCAGCCGCAGUAAAAC